UCGUGUUUCAGUUCUGACGGACAGCCGGCCGGACCAAUAGGAGGCGGUCCUGCCCGCGGUGGGCGGGGCCUGCAGCAGUGCCCUGUCUCGCGCUCAGUCCGGAGGCGAACUCCGCGUCCGCUGCGAAAGUCUCUUUAAAUGUUCUUCUCGAGGUUAUUUUUCGCACUUUACGGUCCGCCGCAGCGACGAGUGGAAUAUAAACGACACUGACCGGAAGAAGCACGCGCUGCUGGGAUUAGAGCGCUUUUAUUGGAACGAUAAGGGACGCGCAUAACGCAGGAUUGUGUUUCAGUCCGAUUUGAAUUCUUUUGUAUCUGUAUGAUCCGGAUCGGAUUCAGUCUGGACUGAAGAUUUAGACUGCUGAAGUUUUAUCUGAAUUCAUUUGCAUCUGGAGCGCAGAGUUUAACGUUAGUAAAGAAAGAAAAGUUCUCCACGAGUGGGAUUUUUGGAGUUUUUGCAUAAUUAAUAAUUAAUAAUACUAAUAUUCGGUGUUGAUGAGGUUUGAGUCUGGAUCUGAAUCUAAUGAUCUGACAGCAGAUCCAGCAGCACUCGGACAUGGGUCGUGUUUGCUGGAUUAUCCCUGUGUUCUGGUUCUGGACUGGGUUCUGCUCAGGAGAGGAAGAGGUGCUGAUGAACACAAAGCUAGAAACAUCUGAUCUAAGAUGGACCAUCUACCCCAGCAGUGACCCUGAGUGGGAGGAGAUGAGCGGUUUGGAUGAGGAGGGAAACAGCGUCCGCACCUUUCAGAUCUGUCACCGGGGGUAGACACGUCU